GAUGAACGCUGGCGGCGUGCCUAAUACAUGCAAGUCGAGCGAACAGACGAGGAGCUUGCUCCUCUGACGUUAGCGGCGGACGGGUGAGUAACACGUGGAUAACCUACCUAUAAGACUGGGAUAACUUCGGGAAACCGGAGCUAAUACCGGAUAAUAUAUUGAACCGCAUGGUUCAAUAGUGAAAGACGGUUUUGCUGUCACUUAUAGAUGGAUCCGCGCCGCAUUAGCUAGUUGGUAAGGUAACGGCUUACCAAGGCAACGAUGCGUAGCCGACCUGAGAGGGUGAUCGGCCACACUGGAACUGGGACACGGUCCAGACUCCAACGGGAGGCAGCAGUAGGGAAUCUUCCGAAAUGGGCGAAAGCCUGACGGAGCAACGCCGCGUGAGUAAUGAAGGUCUUCGGAUCGUAAAACUCUGUUAUUAGGGAAGAACAAAUGUGUAAGUAACUAUGCACGUCUUGACGGUACCUAAUCAGAAAGCCACGGCUAACUACGUG
rnacentral:rRNA from 1 species